rnacentral:rRNA from 1 species
GACGAACGCUGGCGGCGUGCUUAACACAUGCAAGUGGAGCGACGAACCAGGCUUCGGCCUGGGGCAAAGCCGCGAACGGGUGAGUAACACGUGGGUAACCUGCCCCGAUGAUUGGGACAACCCGAGGAAACUCGGGCUAAUACCGAAUGUGCCCUCUGGCCACAAGGCCUCUGGGGAAAGGAAGCUUCGGCCUCCGCAUCGGGAUGGGCCCGCGGCCCAUUAGCUUGUUGGUGAGGUAACGGCUUACCAAGGCGACGAUGGGUAGCUGGUCUGAGAGGACGAUCAGCCACACUGGGACUGAGACACGGCCCAGACUCCUACGGGAGGCAGCAGUGGGGAAUCUUGCGCAAUGCGCGAAAGCGUGACGCAGCAACGCCGCGUGGGGGAAGAAGGCCUUCGGGUUGUAAACCCCUUUCAGUUGGGACGAAGCUUCAUCGGUUAACAGCCGGUUGGAGUGACGGUACCUUCAGAAGAAGCCCCGGCUAACUACGUGCCAGCAGCCGCCGUAAA